rnacentral:rRNA from 1 species
ACGGGUGAGUAAUGCUUAGGAAUCUGCCUAUUAGUGGGGGACAACAUCUCGAAAGGGAUGCUAAUACCGCAUACGUCCUACGGGAGAAAGCAGGGGACCUUCGGGCCUUGCGCUAAUAGAUGAGCCUAAGUCGGAUUAGCUAGUUGGUGGGGUAAAGGCCUACCAAGGCGACGAUCUGUAGCGGGUCUGAGAGGAUGAUCCGCCACACUGGGACUGAGACACGGCCCAGACUCCUACAGGAGGCAGCAGUGGGGAAUAUUGGACAAUGGGGGGAACCCUGAUCCAGCCAUGCCGCGUGUGUGAAGAAGGCCUUUUGGUUGUAAAGCACUUUAAGCGAGGAGGAGGCUACCGAGAUUAAUACUCUUGGAUAGUGGACGUUACUCGCAGAAUAAGCACCGGCUAACUCUGUGCCAGCAGCCGCGGUAAUACAGAGGGUGCAAGCGUUAAUCGGAUUUACUGGGCGUAAAGCGCGCGUAGGUGGCCAAUUAAGUCAAAUGUGAAAUCCCCGAGCUUAACUUGGGAAUUGCAUUCGAUACUGGUUGGCUAGAGUAUGGGAGAGGAUGGUAGAAUUCCAGGUGUAGCGGUGA